rnacentral:lncRNA from 1 species
AGGAGCGCACCCUCACGUAUGGACUCCAUAUGUUUGGUGCGCGCAUAACGGACCCCACCGGCAACCUUUCAAAGGCUUUCUGCAGCACUAACAACCUCCCUGCCAACACUCGCUGUCUUCAAGCACCAUGCCGUCUCUGUAUCAUGGGGCCAUCUUCGUGGGGGUCUUCCUCAUAGUGACCGGGGGCUCCACCGCCUUCCUCACCUCGUCCCAGAGCCGUCUGCAGGCCUUCUCCCUCUGCUGCGUGGUGCUAGGGGCCGUCAUGCUCAUCCUGGGGCUCUUUUGGGCCAUGAACACCAAGUCCCCGGUCAACUACAGCCACGGAGAAUACAACGGAGAGUGUCCGCACUAUCCCUACAACGACUACCCCAACUUUGGGAGCCACGUCCUUUUUGCGCCAUCGGGGAGCCGCUUCCCGGAGUCCCAGUCGGUGUUUCUGCCAAGGCACACAACCCCAGAACGCCAUCGGAGUGGCGCCAACUGUGAGGAAUUUGACUACCCUCCCAUGGAUCCCGGAUGUUUCAGUCCCUCCACACAACCUCCCCCGUGGCUUGGACCCCCGCCCCCCUAUGAAGUGGCCAUCAAGGUUACCUGCAGCUCGACGCAACUGCGGCGGGCAUAUUCUGACACCCACCUGGCAUCGGAGCCCCUGUUCGGACGGUCAAGGGAGAUCAGCUUUGAGGUGUGACGCCGGCCAAUGUUCAGACCUCCUUCCCGUGGCUGCCAGUCCAAUAGGCGAAGGUUUUAGGCUGGUGUUCCGAAAUGCAGACGACCUGGAAUCCAACCUUCAUUAGUCAGUGUGAUUAGCGACAUGGUAUGACAGUAACAUCAAUUGAUGCCUGAGGCAGCAUGCUUUUUGCUAAUGUUGACUGAAUAUGUUCCAGCAUGCGCAACCUAUCUCAGAGAUUACUUUGCCCAGUUAAUAAAACGUCAGCGAUCUGAUAAAGUGAUGUGUCUAACCAGAUUUUGGCCUUAUGUAAAGUAUACUUUAUUAUACACGCUUAUUAUUAUUGGUAUGUAGCAACGAUUAUUGUAUGGUUUAGCCUAACUCUAACCCUAUCCCUAACCCUAUUUUGAAGCCUGAAGGGAUAACUUCCGGAUUUUUCAACCUGGACUCUAUUUUUUGCAACUUUAAUUUUUGGUCUAAGUGACUAAUGCAGACAUUACAUUUUAAAUUUGGUCCAUUAUUGAACGCUUGUGCAAGAGUGGCUGUUUUUGCAACUGACUGAGAUUAUAUUCUAUCAUUGUGGAAAGGAUCCUUCCUGAGAAAUACGCUUGAUCUGAUCUGUUUGUUAUUGUGUCUUGUCAAGUCUUGAUCAAGACGUUUCACUCUGUAAUCGUAUUGCAGGAACUGUCCCUAUUGUUUCACUGUCAUUACAAUCUCAACUUUCCUUCAUCUAUAUUUUUGAGAAAUCAAUAAAUUACACUUUCUGUAUUCCAACGCAAAAAACUCCUGCACUUGCCUGCACUCCUGUCUCCAUCUCCCUCAAGUUCUACUUUUCUCUUCCUGCUUGAACUCAACCCGAGCAAUAUUUCAGCUGUAUUUCUCUGUAGGGAUCCUUUCCGCAAUGUCAGACACUUAUUAUAACAACCAACAAGCACUUUAAGAGAAUGUACAGGGUCACAUAGGGUAGGGUUAUAUUGCUUCGUGCAUCAUGACUGCAGUGGCUUAAGAAGUCUUGCUCAACAAUGGACCAAUUUCAAAAAUAUUUGUCCAUGUUAGGAAUUAAAGGUCAAUGUUGAAAAAUCCAGAAGUUAUCAUUUAACUGGGUUAUUGGGAUUGCAACAGCCAUGUGGUGUCUGUAGUAUUAAUUUGGUUUUAAAAAAGGAUCACACAUUAUUUAAUAACCCUUAUAUCCCAUGUAGGUGGUUCCUUGUUAUUCACAUCAGAUUGUAAAAAUGGCUCCAUAACUAUAUCAAUAUGAUUAUUUACUUGCAGGCUUGCCAGUAGUUGGAGGAACUAAUACAGGCAUAAGGUUCACUGCACCUACUACUAGGGGUGGAACCAGUGUUGCCAGAUUGGGCUACUUUUGGUGGACGUUCAGGCAGUGUUGCCAGUUUGGGCGGUUUCCCCCGCUCUAUUGGGCUACUUUUAAAGUAUGCACCGGCUCGUUAUUCUCUUAAACACACACACACACACACACACACACACACACACACACACACACACACACACACACACACACACACACACACACACACACACACACACACACACACACAAGCAGUGCAGGGCAAUACAUUUGACCUUUCAGAUUCUUCAAUUAAAUUAAUUUUACAUUUCUGCAUUUCUAGCAAUGCUUUGCGCUCUUCAUUCAGCUGUCACUUUAUUUGUGUCCAACCAUUUACAUUUUCUUAAAUGGUGUGCAUGUUUACUCCAUUUAGACUUUUGAAAUUUUGUUCAAAUCCCUUUACUUAAUUUAAGCCAUUUAGCGUUUCUUUAUGUCUUAAUCUAUGUGGCUUUAUUAAAAAAUAUUUUCAACCUUACUUUGUACUACAGCACUCACCGCAUUUUCUGCAGGAAAUGCAUUUUCUAGUUAUUUUUAUUCUCUCUGUAUGAAAUGUUUCCGAUUCAGAUUUAGCCAGAUUUCCUGCCAAAUCUGGAAACACUGGGUGGAACGGCUCACAAAAUUCACGGUUCGAUUCAUACCAUGGUUUUGGGGUCACGGUUUUCGGUUAGCCUACAAAAACUGUUAAAUAAUCAUUCUCCCCAAACAAUGUAUGAGUGGCGCUGUGCCUUGUAAAGGUGCGGCCACACCAAACGCGUUACCCGCGUACCUCGUGUAUAAAAUCGUCAAUUUUUCCAUAGGGAACCAUUGGUUUAUGCCCGUAUGAGACGCGUACACGCGUUACAUGCGCUAAAGCAACAUUUUACGCGCGUAACGCGCGUAUGAGGCGCGUAUAUUUACGCGCGUACAUUUCAAGAGUUCAAAAAAUUUAACUUUUUAUACUCAUACGCAUGACGAUUAGCCUCGUUGCCCAAUCAGCGUUGAGCUUGACCCGACGUCACUGGCAGAGAGUAGUGAGCUUGGACAGAAGCAUACGGCCGACAUCUUUCUUUAUUCUGUGUGGAAAUAGUAACAUAGUUACGCCAUUAAAUGCUUUUAUGGAAACAUUUUUAGCGAGAAAUGUGCAUUUUACUUUCAUAAUGUUCGCUCGGUGAAUGUGAAGGAUGUUUGGUUUGAUAGUUAUGACGAAGAGGGAACGCUCCGUUCACUUGCAUGGACAGAGUCUCUGGUUACUAAGCAACCUCAACGUCUUGGCGGACUAUAUAUCUGCUGAUCAACACUACGAAUGCUGGAAACACACCAGACACACCAUGUGAAGUUAUUUAACCCGAUUAUUGUUAUUUAUAUCCGAGAUUAUUUAAUCUAACCCGAUCUAAACUCUAUCACCCAAACACGGCGGCGUUUGGGUUUCCUACCUCGGACUCCAGCGCAGCCACGGCCGACAACUUUCUUUAUUCUGGGUGGAAAUAGUAACAUAGUUACGCCAUUAAAUGCGUUUAUGGAAACAUUUUUAGCGAGACAUGUGCAUUUUACUUUCGUAAUGUUCGCUCGGUGAAUGUGAAGGAUGUUUGGUUUGAUAGUUAUGACGAAGAGGGAACGCUCCGUUCACUUGCAUGGACAUGGACUCAUCUAGGCGCGUUAGGAGCGUAGGCGCGUUAGGAGCGUAUGCCCAUUUUUGACACAAAAUGGUCAAGCAACAUUUUAGCUGCGUUACGCGCGUAAAAAUUACGCGAGAUACGCGUCUGGUGUGGCCGUACCUUAACGUUUUGUAAGGAGCUGUAGCGACGAAUAAACGUUAUUACUCAAAAGGACUAAUUGGUUAAAAACACAUGCUUUAUUGGAAAAACGCCAAAAAAAACAAAAAAACAGCAAUACUAUGUUGGUGCUGUGAGGAGGAAGUCAGUGGCUUUCGGAUCCACUCUUGCCCCGAGCCUGAAUGUAAAGUGGGUCGCACACCAGACGAGCCACACAGCACAGCGUUGGCCAGUGCCGAUUUUAUCUUACAGCUUGUUCUGUGUUGAAUAUAAUGAGUGGUAAUGAUAAUGAGGCGGCGCCGAUGUUCGAGCUCUCUUUGGAAACACGACCCACGUGAUUUUCAAUGA